UCUUCAAUCGUAUAGUGGCUAGUAUGCACCCCUGUCAAUCCUUCUGGUUUGGCCGGGCGCACGGGUGAGACCGGAGUUCGAUUCUCCGUUGGAGAG
rnacentral:tRNA from 1 species